rnacentral:rRNA from 1 species
CCUACGGGUGGCAGCAGUGAGGAAUAUUGGUCAAUGGACGAGAGUCUGAACCAGCCAAGUAGCGUGAAGGAUGACUGCCCUCUGGGUUGUAAACUUCUUUUAUAUGGGAAUACAAUGUUCCACGUGUGGGAUUUUGUAUGUACCAUAUGAAUAAGGAUCGGCUAACUCCGUGCCAGCAGCCGCGGUAAUACGGAGGAUCCGAGCGUUAUCCGGAUUUAUUGGGUUUAAAGGGAGCGUAGGUGGAUUGUUAAGUCAGUUGUGAAAGUUUGCGGCUCAACCGUAAAAUUGCAGGUGAAACUGGCAGUCUUGAGUACAGUAGAGGUGGGCGGAAUUCGUGGUGUAGUGGUGAAAUGCUUAGAUAUCACGAAGAACUCCGAUUGCGAAGGCAGUUCACUGGACUGCAACUGACACUGAGGCUCGAAAGUGUGGGUAUCAAACAGGAUUAGAUACCCGAGUAGUC